UUCUUUUGUGAUUGGGUUACUUCACUCAGGAUGAUGCCCUCCAGGUCCAUCCAUUUGCCUAGGAAUUUCACAAAUUCAUUGUUUUUAAUAGCUGAGUAGGACUCCAUUGUGUAAAUGUACCACAUUUUCUAUUAUCCAUUCCUCUGUUGAGGGACAUCUGGGUUCUUUCCAGCUUCUGGCUAUUAUAAAUAAGGCUGCUAUGAACAUAGUGGAGCAUGUGUUCUUAUGAAAAUUUCCUUGGCUCAGUCACUUGUCAGUGGUUGCAUAUUUUAAAAGUAGGUUUGUUGAUGGUUUUAAUUAACUGGCCUAUAACAGACUAGAAAGGGUUGAAGUGAGCAUUCUCUAUUGCUGUGACGAGAAUCAACCAACUUUAACCAUAGGUGUGCCCUAGAAG
ensembl:processed_transcript Gm16349 predicted gene 16349